rnacentral:rRNA from 1 species
GUAGGUGGCAAGCGUUGUCCGGAAUUAUUGGGCGUAAAGCGCGCGCAGGCGGUUCUUUAAGUCUGAUGUGAAAGCCCACGGCUCAACCGUGGAGGGCCAUUGGAAACUGGAGAACUUGAGUACAGAAGAGGAAAGCGGAAUUCCACGUGUAGCGGUGAAAUGCGUAGAGAUGUGGAGGAACACCAGUGGCGAAGGCGGCUUUCUGGUCUGUAACUGACGCUGAGGCGCGAAAGCGUGGGGAGCAAACAGGGAUUAGAUACCCUGGUAGUCCACGCCGUAAACGAUGAGUGCUAAGUGUUAGGGGGGUUUCCGCCCCCGUUAGUGCUGCAGCUAACGCAUUAAGCACUCCGCCUGGGGAGUACGGCCGCAAGGCUG